rnacentral:tRNA from 2 species
GCCCGCGUGAUGGAAUGGUAGACAUAGGGGACUUAAAAUCCCUAGGCUUCGGCCGUGCCGGUUCGAGUCCGGCCGCGGGUACCA